rnacentral:tRNA from 1 species
AUCUAAAUAGUUUAAUAUUUAAAAAUUAUGAUUUGUGGGGUCAUAGAUAUAACAAUUAGUUAUUUUAGAUA